rnacentral:rRNA from 1 species
UACAGAGACUGCAAGCGUUAUUCGGAUUCACUGGGCGUAAAGGGUGCGCAGGCGGCCGAGUGUGUGAGGCGUGAAAGCCCCCGGCUCAACUGGGGAGGGUCACGCGAUACUGAUCGACUGGAAGGCAGGAGAGGGUAGUGGAAUUCCCGGUGUAGUGGUGAAAUGCGUAGAUAUCGGGAGGAACACCGGUGGCGAAGGCGGAUCUCUGGGCCGAUACUGACGCUGAGGAGCGAAAGCGUGGGGAGCAAACGGG